rnacentral:rRNA from 1 species
AUUGAACGCUGGCGGCAGGCCUAACACAUGCAAGUCGAGCGAGCGGCGGACGGGUGAGUAAUGUAUGGGGACUGCCCGAUAGAGGGGGAUAACUACUGGAAACGGUGGCUAAUACCGCAUACUAUCGGAUAACCCAUAUGGGAUUAGCUAGUAGGUGGGGUAAAGGCUCACCUAGGGGACGAUCUCUAGCUUGUGUGAGAGGAUGAUAAGCCACACUGGGACUGAGAGACGGCCCAGACUCCUACGGAGGCAGCAGUGGGGAAUAAUGACCAAUGGGCGCAAGCCUGAUGCAGCAAUGACGCGUGUAGGAAGAAGGCCUUAGGGUUGUAAAGAACUUUCAGCGGGGAGGCAUUACCAGCGGAAAAAGCACCGGCUAACUCCGUGCCAGCAGCCGCGGUAAUAC